AACGCACCUUGCGCCCUCUGGUAUUCCGGAGGGCAUGCCUGUUUGAGUGUCAUGAUCAAUCUCUAAUCAGGAUUUCUGACUAGGGGAUUUGGGUGUUUGCCUUUGCUGGCUCGCCUUAAAUGUAUUAGCGCGGUGUAUAAGUUUCGCCAGCCGCUACCAAUGUCUUCGGACCGGGAAAGGGCAACCGAUUACCAUCUCAGACCUCAAAUCAGGUAGGACUACCCGCUGAACUUAA
rnacentral:misc_RNA from 1 species